UACGGAGGGUGCGAGCGUUGUUCGGAAUCACUGGGCGUAAAGGGCGUGUAGGCGGUCCGCUAAGUCUGAUGUGAAAGCCCGGGGCUCACCCCCGGAAGGGCAUUGGAAACUGACGGACUCGAGUCCCGAAGAGGAGGGUGGAAUUCCUGGUGUAGCGGUGAAAUGCGUAGAUAUCAGGAGGAACACCGGUGGCGAAGGCGGCCCUCUGGACGGUGACUGACGCUGAGGCACGAAAGCGUGGGGAGCAAACAGG
rnacentral:rRNA from 1 species